UCUUUCUCUGAAAGAACUGUGCAAGGUCUCAGGUCUCCACGCCGGCGCCCAUGGCCGGGGACGAGCGCCGGCGCCCCCUCCCUCGCAGCACCCGGUGCCGAGAGGCCGGAUCUCCGCCGCCGCCGGCCAAUCCCGCUUCUCCGUCGCCCUCUUCGCUGCCGCGGUUCAACUUUGAAACAUUCUCUGCGCUCAAAGAUGUAUCCAGGUAGCAAAAGCUAUCUCUCUGCGUUUCUAUGAAGCGAAGAAAUGAGCUGGUUAAUCUCUUUGUGUUUCCUUCUGCGUACCUUCAGAGGGACAGCCCACCCUUUCAACGCUUGUUUAGCUGGCGUUAUUUAACUUGGCCAAACGGCAGGUAGCUAAGUUAAGAUGCCAACUUGGCGUCCGCUGCGACGACAAACAAUGUCAUUGUUGCAGCUAGCAACAACACAAACAUAGGACUAUGUACCAGACCGAGUCUUGGUACCUUUGUCUUAAUUUAUCUUGUGUUAUUUUACUUUAUCUUUUGUUAUGUAUAUUAUAUAUGAGGCCCACUUGAUUAGAGUGAAA